rnacentral:rRNA from 1 species
GACGAACGCUGGCGGCGUGCCUAAUACAUGCAAGUCGAACGCUUCUUUCCUCCCGAGUGCUUGCACUCCAUUGGAAAGAGGAGUGGCGGACGGGUGAGUAACACGUGGGUAACCUACCCAUCAGAGGGGGAUAACACUUGGAAACAGGUGCUAAUACCGCAUAACAGUUUAUGCCGCAUGGCAUAAGAGUGAAAGGCGCUUUCGGGUGUCGUUGAUGGAUGGACCCGCGGUGCAUUAGCUAGUUGGUGAGGUAACGGCUCACCAAGGCCACGAUGCAUAGCCGACCUGAGAGGGUGAUCGGCCACACUGGGACUGAGACACGGCCCAGACUCCUACGGGAGGCAGCAGUAGGGAAUCUUCGGCAAAGGACGAAAGUCUGACCGAGCAACGCCGCGUGAGUGAAGAAGGUUUUCGGAUCGUAAAACUCUGUUGUUAGAGAAGAACAAGGACGUUAGUAACUGAACGUCCCCUGACGGUAUCUAACCAGAAAGCCACGGCUAACUACGUG